UCUUCGAUAGCUCAGUUGGUAGAGCGGUGGACUGUAGAUCCAUAGGUCACUGGUUCAAAUCCGGUUCGAAGGAA